CCUACGGGAGGCUGCAGUGAGGAAUAUUGGUCAAUGGGCGCGAGUCUGAACCAGCCAUGCAGCGUGAAGGAUGACUGCUCUAUGAGUUGUAAACUUCUUUUAUAAAAGAAUAAAGUGAGGUACGUGUGUCUUUCUGCCAGUACUUUACGAAUAAGGAUCGGCUAACUCCGUGCCAGCAGCCGCGGUAAUACGGAGGAUUCGAGCGUUAUCCGGAUUUAUUGGGUUUAAAGGGUGCGUAGGUGGGCUGUUAAGUUAGUGGUGAAAGUUUGAGGCUCAACCGUGAAAUUGCAUUUGAUACUGUCAGGCUAGAGAGCAGUUGCGGUAGGCGGAAUGUAUGGUGUAGCGGUGAAAUGCUUAGAGAUCACACAGAACACCGAUUGCGAAGGCAGCUUACCAAGCUACAACUGACGUUGAUGCACGAAAGUGUGGGGAGCAAACAGGAUUAGAUACCCGUGUAGUC
rnacentral:rRNA from 1 species